UACGUAGGGGGCAAGCGUUGUCCGGAAUCAUUGGGCGUAAAGAGCGUGUAGGCGGUCCGGUCAGUCGGUUGUGAAAGUCAAGGGCUCAACCCUUGAAUGCCGGCCGAUACUGCCGGGCUAGAGUCCGGAAGAGGUGAGUGGAAUUCCUGGUGUAGCGGUGAAAUGCGCAGAUAUCAGGAGGAACACCAGUGGCGAAGGCGGCUCACUGGACCGGAACUGACGCUGAGGCGCGAAAGCGUGGGGAGCAAACAGG
rnacentral:rRNA from 1 species